UACGUAGGGGGGCUAGCGUUGUCCGGAAUCAUUGGGCGUAAAGCGCGUGUAGGCGGUCCGGUAAGUCCGCUGUGAAAGUCGGGGGGCUCAACCCUCGAAUGCCGGUGGAUACUGUCGGGCUAGAGUGCGGAAGAGGCGAGUGGAAUUCCUGGUGUAGCGGUGAAAUGCGCAGAUAUCAGGAGGAACACCAAUUGCGAAGGCAGCUCGCUGGGACGUUACUGAGCUGGAGACGCGAAAGCGUGGGGAGCAAACAGG
rnacentral:rRNA from 1 species